GAUGAACGCUGGCGGCGUGCUUAACACAUGCAAGUCGAACGAAGCACUUUUAAUUCUUCGGAAGAGGAAGUGACUGAGUGGCGGACGGGUGAGUAACGCGUGGGUAACCUGCCUUAUACAGGGGGAUAACAGUUAGAAAUGACUGCUAAUACCGCAUAAGCCGAUAGAGUCGCAUGACUUAGUCGGAAAAGAUUUAUCGGUAUAAGAUGGACCCGCGACUGAUUAGCUAGUUGGUGAGGUAAUGGCCCACCAAGGCGACGAUCAGUAGCCGGCUUGAGAGAGUGAACGGCCACAUUGGGACUGAGACACGGCCCAAACUCCUACGGGAGGCAGCAGUGGGGAAUAUUGCACAAUGGGGGAAACCCUGAUGCAGCAACGCCGCGUGAAGGAAGAUGUAUUUCGGUAUGUAAACUUCUAUCAGCAGGGAAGAAAAUGACGGUACCUGAUUAAGAAGCCCCGGCUAACUACGUGCCAGCAGCCGCCGUAA
rnacentral:rRNA from 1 species